CAGCGCCACGGUAAUACGUAGGUGGCGAGCGUUGUCCGGAAUUAUUGGGCGUAAAGGGAGCGCAGGCGGACAUAUAAGUCCAUCUUAAAAGUGCGGGGCUCAACCCCGUGAGGGGAGAGAAACUAUCGGUCUUGAGUACAGGAGAGGAAAGCGGAAUUCCCAGUGUAGCGGUGAAAUGCGUAGAUAUUGGGAAGAACACCAGUGGCGAAGGUGGCUUUUUGGCCUGUAACUGACACCGAGGCGCGAAAGCGUGGGGAGCAAACAGGAUUAGAGACCCCCGUAGUCCCUGUCUCUUAUACAC
rnacentral:rRNA from 1 species